UAAGCCGAGGCCGAAAGGCGUAGGUGAUGGACAAUCGGUUGAUAUUCCGAUACCGCCUAUUUACGUUUGAGAAAUGGGGUGACGCAGUAGGAUAAGAUGUGCGCACUAUUGGAUGUGCGUCUAAGCACUUAGGCAUGCUUGAUAGGCAAAUCCGUCGAGCUAAGCUGAGGUGUGAUGGGGAGCCAUUUAUGGCGAAGUAUCUGAUUCCACACUGCCAAGAAAAGCCUCUAUCGAGUGAAUAGGUGCCCGUACCGCAAACCGACACAGGUAGGUGAGGAGAGAAUCCUAAGGCCAUCGGAAGAAUUGCUGUUAAGGAACUCGGCAAAUUGACCCCGUAACUUCGGGAGAAGGGGUGCCUACGAA
rnacentral:rRNA from 1 species